GAACAGGGGUGACACCACCAGGUUUAUUGGGAUGGAGCUGGGGGACCCCAAAACCGCAGGGACAGUCGGACGGAGCGUCAGUCGGACAGAGGGACAGACAGGACAGUGUCACUGCACUGUGGCCAUGGGCUCAUGAUGGUCACUGCGGUCAGGAACUGUCCCCAGGGUGGUCACUGUGGUCACUGUGGUGGUCACUGCGGUCAGGAGCUGUCCCCAGGGUGGUCACUGUGAUGGUCACUGUGGUCAGGAGCUGUCCCCAUGGUGGUCAUGAUGGUCACUGUGGUGGUCAUUGCUCCAUGGUGGUGUCCUCAUGAUGGUCACUGUGGUCAGGAGCUGUCCCCAUGGUGGUCACUGUGGUGGUCACUGUGGUGGUCACUGCUCCAUGGUGGUGUCCUCAUGGUGGUCACUGUGGUGGUCACUGUGGUGGUCACUGCAAUGGUCACUGUUCCAUGGUGGUGUCCUCGUGGUGGUCACUGUGGUAGUCACUGUGGUCACUGUGAUGGUCACUGUGAUGGUCACUGUGGUCAGGAGCUGUCCCCAGGGUGGUCACUGUGGUCACUGUGGUGGUCACUGCUCCAUGGUGGUGUCCUCAUGGUGGUCACUGUGGUCAGGAACUGUCCCCAGGGUGGUCACUGUGGUGGUCACUGCUCCAUGGUGGUGUCCCCAUGGUGGCCGUGGUGGUCACUGUGGUGGUCACUGCUCUGUGGUGGUAUCCCCAUGAUGGUCACUGUGGUCAGGAGCUGUCCCCAUGGUGGUCACUGUGGUCACUGUGGUGGUCACUGUGGUGGUCACUGUGGUCAGGAGCUGUCUUCUCGAUGACCACAGUGAUGGUCAGUGCUCUGUGGCUGUGUGCCAGGGUGGCCACCACGAUGACCACCAUGGUCACUCACUGCUCCAUGGUGGUGUCCCUGUGCUGGUCACUGCCCCAUGGCCAUGUCCCAGGGUGGUCACCACAGUGGUCACAGU
rnacentral:lncRNA from 1 species